rnacentral:rRNA from 1 species
GUGGGGAAUCUUCCGCAAUGGACGAAAGUCUGACGGAGCAACGCCGCGUGAGUGAUGAAGGUCUUCGGAUUGUAAAGCUCUGUUAAUCGGGACGAAAGAGCCUAGUGUGAAUAAUGCUAGGAAGUGACGGUACCGGAAUAGAAAGCCACGGCUAACUACGUGCCAGCAGCCGCGGUAAUACGUAGGUGGCAAGCGUUGUCCGGAAUUAUUGGGCGUAAAGCGCGCGCAGGCGGAUCUGCCAGUCUGUCUUAAAAGUUCGGGGCUUAACCCCUUGAUGGGAUGGAAACUACAGAUCUAGAGUAUCGGAGAGGAAAGUGGAAUUCCUAGUGUAGCGGUGAAAUGCGUAGAUAUUAGGAAGAACACCAGUGGCGAAGGCGACUUUCUGGACGAAAACUGACGCUGAGGCGCGAAAGCCAGGGGAGCGAACGGGAUUAGAAACCCUUGUAGUCC